AACCCUGUCUAACACAGGGAGAUACCAUGAUCACGAAGGUGGUUUUCCCAGGGCGAGGCUUAUCCAUUGCACUCCGGAUGUGCUGACUCCUGCGAUUUCCCCAAAUGUGGGAAACUCGACUGCAUGAUUUGUGGUAGUGGGGGACUGCGUUCACGCUCUCCCCUU
rnacentral:snRNA from 1 species